AUUGAAUAAAUAUUAAUAAUAAUCAAUUUAAUUUAUAAAGCGCCUUUCAAAGAACCCAAGGUCACUUGCUCAUUGCACUGCAAAAAAAUGACUUUCUUCGUGUUUUUGUCUUCAGUAAAAAUAUCAAAAAAAUUCUUAAAUUAAGAUGUAUUAAAAGUUUUCUUGAAAUAUACUUUUUCAUAAACACUUAAUUAAAAAAAAAUUCCAUUGGCUGAUUUUUUUUUGCUUAUUUUCCUAGGUCAUUUUGCUCAUCAAGAAAAUGCAUCUUAAUUUAAGAAUUUUUUGAUAUUUUUACUGAAAACAAGACAAAAAUACAAAGUAAGUCAUUUUUUGCAGUGUGACUCCAUUGAAUGUUCUUGUGUGAUAAAGAAAGUCUCUCUUUUUUUGUGUGUGGUGUGUGUGUGAUGACCGGGCCAAAACGGACAUGGCAGCAGGUCAAAUACAAGAACAUUCUGCAGAAUGCAGUGAAAAGAAUACCCAGAGACAAGGCACGGGUGGUGGGUCACCAAAAGCUGACCUCACCCCAGCAGAGGCCAGCUUUGGAGCUAAAAAAAGGCAGGCCUGUUGGAGGGGAUCCCUGGGGGAAAAGAGACAAGCAUAGGUCCCUCCCAAGAUGCCACCCGCUUCAUACAAGUGUCUGGCAGCACUGUGUUACUGUUAAAGCCACCAGCACGAGCACCAGACGAUGCUGAUCCAGUGAGUACUCCAUCAAAGGCAUACUAUAGGCCUGGCAUGUCUUGUCUACUAGCUUCAAUAUGAAUCCGAUUAAAUGUGAUAGGGUCAAGGCCCCAUUUCAUCAGCACAUAACGGCGAUGAUGAUGAUGAGGAGACCAUCUCUCUGGAUUCCAGAAGGCAUAAGGACCCAGUGUCAUUGGUGGACUGGACUGCACACACAUAAGGCAAAAAGCCCCCUCAGGUGCCCAUGAGGCAGAUUUUAUAAAUAUGAAAUCUUUUCACAGCAUUAAUGUUUAGGUGAACAUAACUUUUUGAUCUUUUCCAUUAAACACUGCCAAAAUGGCCUGGCUCAGUCCAUGACUCCAGAAUCUUUCGGACCUCUGAAAUCUAUCAGUGCCUAUCACAAGGUGAAUUCUGUAGUGUGUUGCUGGGAGACUGCAAGCCUUUUUCCUGACACCUUUCACAGACCCCCAGGAAGCACAGCAGGCCUACAACUAUGCCCAUGCCGGGACCAGGGCCAGAGUUGAAAUGACCUUUGGCCUCCUGAAGGCACGCUCUCACUGCUUUCAUAAAUUGAGGGUCAGCCCUGUGAGGGCAUGUGACAUUAAUGUGGCUUGUGGUGUCCUCCACAAUGUGACCUGCCUGAGGAAGGAGAGGGCACCCAGAGUGCCGCCAGCCAUGGACUGGGACAAUCCGGAUGACGACAGUAGUCGGCUGCUGAGGGACCAAUAUGUGUUGAAUUAUUUUAGUUAGUAUGUGUGCUUUCAAUUUUGUUUUGUUUUUUAUUGAUUUGGCCUCUUUUGAUGUUUGUGCUGUAUACUGUUUGUAAUACAAGCUUGCAGGGAGGCUACUGCAUCCAUUAAUUGUCUUGUUUUCAGUUGUCUGAAAUUGUCUGUUCAGUUAAUGUGUGUAUGGAUUUGUCCUGCAUUUAUUUCAGUGUGCAGACAUGCAGAGUGUGUUAUAUACAGACCUUUGAAUGUGUAUUUAUCUUUUGGUUGUAUAAUAUGAUUUGAUUCUGUGAUUUCCAUCUUGUAGAGUCACUGUGUGACUUCAGUUUCGAAAGGAGUUGAUGGUUUACCUGCUUUGUUUUGUCCUUAUUCAAUAAAGAAACAUAAUGUUACACGUUGUGCUUUUAUAU